rnacentral:rRNA from 1 species
UACGGGGGGAGCAAGCGUUGUUCGGAUUUACUGGGCGUAGAGGGCGCGUAGGCGGUCAGCACAAGUCAGUUGUGAAAUCUCCGGGCUUAACUCGGAAAGGUCAACUGAUACUGUGCGACUAGAGUGCAGAAGGGGCAACUGGAAUUCUCGGUGUAGCGGUGAAAUGCGUAGAUAUCGAGAGGAACACCUGCGGCGAAGGCGGGUUGCUGGGCUGACACUGACGCUGAUGCGCGAAAGCCAGGGGAGCGAACGGG